rnacentral:rRNA from 1 species
GUGGGGAAUCUUCCGCAAUGGACGAAAGUCUGACGGAGCAACGCCGCGUGAGUGAAGAAGGUUUUCGGAUCGUAAAGCUCUUUCGUUAGGGACGAACGUGCUCUUUGUGAAUAAUGAGGAGUAAUGACGGUACCUAAAUAAGAAGCCACGGCUAACUACGUGCCAGCAGCCGCGGUAAUACGUAGGUGGCAAGCGUUGUCCGGAAUUAUUGGGCGUAAAGCGCGCGCAGGCGGGAUAUCAAGUCUGUCUUAAAAGUGCGAGGCUCAACCUCGUGAGGGGACAGAAACUGGUAUUCUUGAGUGUCGGAGAGGAAAGUGGAAUUUCAAGUGUAGCGGUGAAAUGCGUAGAGAUUUGGAAGAACACCAGUGGCGAAGGCGACUUUCUGGACGAUGUCUGACGCUGAGGCGCGAAAGCUAGGGGAGCGAACGGGAUUAGAAACCCUAGUAGUCC